UUGACCUCGAAUCAGGUAGGAAUACCCGCUGAACUUAAGCAUAUCAAUAAGCGGAGGAAAAGAAACCAACCGGGAUUACCUCAGUAACGGCGAGUGAAGCGGUAACAGCUCAAAUUUGAAAUCUGGCUCCUCUGGAGUCCGAGUUGUAAUUUGUAGAAGAUGCUUUGGGUGAUGGGUUCGGCCUAAGUUCCUUGGAACAGGACGUCAUAGAGGGUGAGAAUCCCGUAUGUGGCCGAGGCCCACGCCUAUGUAAAGCUCUUUCAACGAGUCGAGUUGUUUGGGAAUGCAGCUCAAAAUGGGUGGUAAAUUUCAUCUAAAGCUAAAUAUGGGCCAGAGACCGAUAGCGCACAAGUAGAGUGAUCGAAAGAUGAAAAGCACUUUGGAAAGAGAGUUAAACAGUACGUGAAAUUGUUGAAAGGGAAGCGCUUGCACCCAGACUUGGGCGCUGUUGAUCACCUUGCGGUCUCCGCGAGUGCACUCGACAGCGCACAGGCCAGCAUCGGUUCGGGUGGCUGGAUAAAGGCCGUAGGAAUGUAGCUCCCUUCGGGGAGUGUUAUAGCCUACGGUGCCAUGCAGCCCAGCCGGACCGAGGACCGCGCCUUCGGGCUAGGAUGCUGGCGUAAUGGGUGUAAGCGACCCGUCUUGAAACACGGACCAAGGAGUCUAACAUCUAUGCGAGUGUUUGGGUGGUAAAACCCAUACGCGAAAUGAAAGUGAACGUAGGUGAGAACCCCUUUGGGGCGCAUCAUCGACCGAUCCUGAUGUCUUCGGAUGGAUUUGAGUAAGAGCAU
rnacentral:rRNA from 1 species